rnacentral:snRNA from 1 species
AAGCGACGCGUAUUACAGUCGA